AACUAUAUUUGUAGAAUGGAAUGCUGCAUGCUCUGCCCUAUUGUGACUCACCAGAAAAGGCUCUUGUGAACAUCUCUGUUGGCUGCUUCUGUUGUGGGGAUGGUUUGUAACCAGAAAACUGACUGUUCAUACAUCUCCUUUUGAGUUAUGUACAGGGUUACCUUCUGAUUUGGUUUUACAUGGUGAAGUUCCUUGGUUUAUUCAGUACUACUUAUAAAAGUCAAUGAGUCUCAUAAAUCCAAGCAGUAAAAUAAUAUCAUCCCAGAUAAAUUUCAGAAAAGUGGAAAUUAAAUUGCAGUAGAAAAAAAAAACACCAAACAACAAUUAUACAAUCUAUCCAUUCAUGUGGCUGGAUUUCAAAUCAGAGGUGCUCUUUCAGAAGCAGACACAGCAGAUGGAGAGAUGAAUUUCUGAACUAUUAUCAGCUUUGGAAAACUUCUGUAAAAAGACCAUGAUGCACCUCCAGAGUCAUUAUGCUUGGGUCCUACCUAACUCAACUGAUAGAUGAAGUAUGGAAGAGCUACUACAAGGACUGAAACAUAGUCUCAUUUCACCGAGUCCCAUUUACAGCUUCUUUCUUCAUAUGAAAAUGCUGUUUGGAACAAUGAGGUGCAGAAAUCCUUUUGUGGUACAGAGGGACCAACAGCAGAACCAAGGAAUGUGGGGAAAACUGCCUCUGCAUCAAGAACAUCAGAUAUUUUCUCUCCUCACUGAACAUCCUGCAUUCUCCCCUCAGGACUCAAGAAAAGCUCAGUGGAGAAGGACAGUUCCAGGCAGAAGUACAAAUUCUAUUGUAGCAGACUGGAGGAAGAGAAAUCUUAAACCAAGGGCAUUUAAUCACCUGCAGAGUGAGAGAGGCUGAAAAGAAAAAUGAAUUCACUGCCUUCUAGAUCUGUCUGUGAACAAUUUAUGUUUGAACUUCUCUUAAAUAAUUUUCGGCACAAUAUUUCUGGUCUAAAAGUAUAUGAAAUAGCGUCUGAAACCAGCCUUCUUUUGCAGCACUGAGAAGUCCUCUUUCUGAGUCCUUUAUGUUUUCCCUUUAUGUAUUCUUUCAUGUUGUGCUCUGCUUUCUGAUGGGUGAUACGUGAUGAGGAAUUGGGAAGCGGCAAGCUUUGUGGCCCUGCUGCCAGUGUGCUUCAUACAUUGCGAAGAAGCAGACCCACAUUAUAAAACCAACUGAAAACCACGGUGGUACCUCUCUAAAAAAUGUAAUGGACUGUACUGAAAGCCUAACUCUGACUGAUGUGAGGUUUGGGACUUUAUCCAGGUAAGAAUUCAUGCAGCAAUGAGCACAGAUAAGGCAGAUGACCCAGAGUAGGGCCAAACUGUUUACCAGCAGAUGUGUUUUUGAAAAUCUUCCUUAACUGGUCAUGGCAGCGGAAAAUACCCUGCUGUUAAACGCAUCUGCAAUCCACUGCGCUCCCAAUCCACCUACAAAAAUUCUGACCUUUAAAGAAAUGAUGGAGAAGCUGGUGAUUUUUUCCAUGGCAUUGAAGCUCAGUCUAUUUUAGGCUCCAAGGCAAUUGCAGCCCUUUUUGCUCCCUAUUUCACAUCACUUUUAAGUCUUGUUCUGGCCACUAUGAACCCUUCAGCACUUCUCCCUGUGCAAUCACUCGAGUCAAGAUCUGUGAUUUGUGAUUUGCAGAUGACAUGUACAUUUCUUGGCUGAUGGCUGUUAAGGCAGUUUGCAAACCUAAGGCAAUAAACUGCAGGGAUGCAUUUGGAUCUGUUUUGCC
rnacentral:lncRNA from 1 species